UGCUUAACACAUGCAAGUCGAACGGUAACAGGCCUAGCUUGCUAGGUGCUGACGAGUGGCGGACGGGUGAGUAACGCGUAGGAAUUUACCUUAUAGUGGGGGAUAACCUGGGGAAACCCAGGCUAAUACCGCAUAAGCCCUAAGGGGGAAAGCGUGGGACCGAAAGGCCACGUGCUAUUAGAUGAGCCUGCGUCGGAUUAGCUUGUUGGUGGGGUAAAGGCCUACCAAGGCUUAGAUCCGUAGCUGGUCUGAGAGGACGACCAGCCACACUGGGACUGAGACACGGCCCAGACUCCUACGGGAGGCAGCAGUGGGGAAUAUUGGACAAUGGGCGCAAGCCUGAUCCAGCAAUGCCGCGUGUGUGAAGAAGGCCUGCGGGUUGUAAAGCUC
rnacentral:rRNA from 1 species